GACGAACGCUGGCGGCGUGCUUAACACAUGCAAGUCGAACGGUGAAGCGUCUUCCUUUUUGGUGGGUGUGGAUGAGUGGCGAACGGGUGAGUAACACGUGAGUAACCUGCCCCCUGCUUCUGGAUAACCGCAUGAAAGUGUGGCUAAUACGGGAUAUUCUGGGUCUGUCGCAUGAUGGGUCUGGGAAAGAUAUUGUUUCGGUGGGGGAUGGGCUCGCGGCCUAUCAGCUGGUUGGUGGGGUGAUGGCCUACCAAGGCGGUGACGGGUAGCCGGCCUGAGAGGGUGGACGGUCACACUGGGACUGCGACACGGCCCAGACUCCUACGGGAGGCAGCAGUGGGGAAUAUUGCACAAUGGGCGCAAGCCUGAUGCAGCGACGCCGCGUGAGGGAUGGAGGCCUUCGGGUUGUGAACCUCUUUCGCCAGUGAAGCAGGCCUGCCUCGUUUGUGGGUGGGUUGACGGUAGCUGGAGAAGAAGCGCCGGCUAACUACGUG
rnacentral:rRNA from 1 species